CAACAGUUUAGGAACCAAAGGUAAGUGAUUCACCAGCUUCAUCCAUUACUCUUCACUGGGAUUUGUUUUUAACUUCUCUCUAGUAGGCCUUCUCUGUCCUUUUAUCUCAUGGAAUCAAGGUGCUUGUCAAAUGCAUUUCUAAAAAUUAUUAUUACAGGCUUAACUUUGCCUUGCAUUUGUGUGGUUAUGAAACAUCAUCUCCUUGGGAUAUCGUCUUCUUUCUGAGCCUUUCAGAACUGAUGAGCAUAGUCACAGGUUUAUAUAGUCACACAGCCUUUUUAAACACCAAUAAUCAGAGAUGCACACAAAUGGCCUCUCCAAAUUCUACACUUCAUUUGUAGGCAGAGAAAUUGGUGCAGGUGAGGGAGAUUUCACUAAUUUGGAAGGGCUGUAGCUUUGCAUGCAGAAGGUCCCAGGUUCAAACUCUGGCAUCUCCAGAUAGGUCUGGGAGAGACCCUGUCUGAAAUCCCAGAAAGCGGCUGCCAAUAAUUAUGUAGUUGAACUCUGGAAUUCACUCCCACAAUAUGGAGGCUUUCCAUGAAAUGCAGAUGGAAGCUUAAGAGAAGGCAUUUUUGGUGGGAAGUGGGCAGGGAAAGAGUUAAUUUCCUCCCCAUCUCACCAUGGUUUUGAGGGUUUGUGCCUAUAUAACAAUGUUUAUUUACAAGUGUACAUACUGAGCACCUCAGUUAUUUAUUAUUAUUAUUAUAUCAACUUCCUGAUAUUUGCAAACUGAUCUGGGAGCCUUUGGGGGCUGCAGAGAGGUUAAAAAAUCAUUUAGAUAAAUACCAAGGGUGCAGAAACAGGAACAGGCAUUUAAAUGUGUAUUAGUUUUCAUUACUCUCUCACAUCAGUAGCCAAGCCUAGCUUAGUUAUAUCUAUGUCUGACCCAUUCAUCUACAACAGCAUCAUUUAUAAAAGGGGGAGUUAUCCCACCUUUCUCUUUCCGACUUAAAGUCAGUUAAUGAACUAGCUAGAGCACUAGAAGCACAACCCACAAAAUACCCCAAACAGCUCCAGCAAACAGUAAUCAAGAGCAGGAUAUCUAAAUUGAGGCACUCUAAAACCCCUGCCUAAAUUAACAUUACAUAGCCCUGGAAUCGUCCUACACAUUGUAGAAGUCUGCAAACCCUUCUAGGUCUCAUUCUCAUCAUCUGGAAGAUAAACCAUCAGGCACGGCAAAAUGCAGGUAACAAGACACCAGGCAUAAGAAUAGCCCCUCCAGUUCAGGCCAGAGGCCGAUUUAGUCCACCAUCCUGUUCUCUACAGUGGCCAACCAGAUGCCUCUGGGAAGCCCACAAACAGGACGAACAUGAGCACAAUAGUCAUCUCCCACCAGCCAGUGUUUGGAAACCGGGCAGGGGGGGAAGCAAGGCGCUAUGUAGUGCCUGGAACCUGGGCUGUGGGGCCCUGGAACACCGCCCGGCACAUCCCCCCAACUCAUGCAGCACCAAAGGAGGCACAUCUAGGGCUGCUCCUGGCAGUGUCAGGGGACAGCGAGAUGCGAGGGGCGCUGUGGAGCCAGGGGGCGGGGAAGAAGCUUUGCUGAGGUGAGAGAAGCGAGGCUUCGCUUCCCUACCUGGCCAGCUUCGCCUGGCAGAGGUUGGGGACUAGGAGGAGAAGGCAGAGUCAGCAGGAUUGCUCCUGCUGCUGAUGGUGCACACACAAAAUCAACCAUACCCAAAGCAAUUAUUUUGAAAAUAAUAUUUGAGAAAAUGCCCCCCACCUCUGCUUUCUCAUGUUACCAAAGUCUAUCCCUGCUCCUGCUGUUGUAUUCCAGAAGCUGGAGGUAGCAUACCGUCAUCAGACCUGGUCACUGGUAACCUGUUCUUCCAUCCCUCUCUUAAGGCCAUCUACGUUGGUGGCAGUCAUCACACCUUUGUAGUAGUAGCUUUACUAACUACCUAUGCACUUUGUAAAGAAGAACAUAAGCAUCAGGCCCAUCUAGUCCAGCAUCCUGUUCUCUCAGCAGCCCACCAGAUGCUUAGGGGAAGCCUACAAGCCAUAACUGAGUGCAACAGCUUCCUCCCCCCUCAGCACCUGGUAUACAGAGGCCUGCUUCCUUCUGUCUUUCAAAAUUCAGCUUCCAUAUCCUCCAACUUUACUCUUGAAGAAAAUCAGGACUUUCCUACCUACUCAUCUCGAGUAAUUUGUACUUUACUGUUGCUUACAUUUAAUAAAUAUGAUCUAGCCUUUCUUUUUUUGUGUGGAGUUAGAAACCUCACAUUGUGUGUGUGUUUUGCACCCUCUUCUCAUUAAUAAUGAGAUUAUUAAAAGGAGUCUGCUCAAAUAUGAAUUCAAGCCUUAAACAUGUUUUUAAAAGGAGAAGAAAUAAGCCUCCAGUCGUUAUCCCUCCUUUUAGAACAGAAUUCAUGAAUUUUAACCAAAUAUUGCCAUGUUGAGUAUUAAUAUACAAUUAUGCAAAACCACUGUUAUGUCUCUGACAAAAAUUAGAUUCCAUUGCCCUUGCUAUAAUCAGUGAUGGCAUAUUUGUUGUGGGUAUAUAUAUAUAUAUAUAUAUAUAUAAAACGACUCAUGACCUAAGAUUUCUGUUGCUAUGGCAAUAGGACUGUUAAGGAGGAAGAAGCUAAAGGUAAGUAUGAGCAUGCAUGUGGAUCAAAGGGAGUGGGUGGGUGUUGGCUGCCUAUCAUGAUUCCCUGGUGCAGUCCUCUCUCCUCUGCCUAUUAGCAAACAAUAUGAACCUCCACUUUCCAGGACUGAAAGAAUCCACAAUCACAACCUGCUUCUGUAUGGGAACGUAACAACACUGGCAAAAGGUGCCAAACUGACACCACCAGAAAACAAGGGACUACUCCACAAAGCACUUCUACAGAGGAGCAGUGUAAAAACUGAAAAUGCCGGUCAUCACAUUGGACAUGAUCACACACCCGUCUAUUUCGCAGGAGAGAAAGCGAGAGAGACAGAGUCACAUUUGAUUAGCUAGAGAUGGGCUUCAUGCUUGUUCCUGCACAUACAUUUCUUGCAAAGUCUGAUGUGGUCCUUCCACCUUUGAUUUAUUCACAGAACAAAUUAUUUGUCUUUCCCCUCAUAGGGGCCAAAAUCAGCUGGUGGGAGGAGGAUUUGAAGACUCCAAACAUUUUCCAUGCUGGACUGCCUCCUUGGAGCCUGGAGAUACCUAUGAGUUGGCACCUAUGUGUGCGAGUGUGAUUGUUUCUAUCAUCUCCCUGCUGUCCUAUACAAUUCUCUGGGAUUUGUUUUUGUCUUCAUCAUGCACCAACAGAGAAACUAUUCAGAUAAAACUGGUCAGGAAAU